GGGUCAGUAGGUUGGUCGUGCCACCGGUACGUACUGGUCUCACUGAUCCCUCCUUCCUGAAUAACCGUAAUGCCAUUAAUUUGGUGUUGCGGGGAAACAGGACUGUUACUUUGAAAAAAUUAGAGUGUUUAAUGCAAGCUAACGCUUGAAUACAUUAGCAUGGAAUAAUGAAAUAGGACGAUCGAUCCUAUUUUGUUGGUUUCUAGGAUUGACGUA
rnacentral:rRNA from 1 species